rnacentral:rRNA from 1 species
CGCGGCCUAUCAGCUUGUUGGUGGGGUAACGGCCUACCAAGGCGACGACGCGUAGCGGGUCUGAGAGGACGACCCGCCACAUUGGGACUGAGAUACGGCCCAGACUCCUACGGGAGGCAGCAGUGGGGAAUAUUGCGCAAUGGUCGAAAGACUGACGCAGCGACGCCGCGUGUGGGAGGAAGCCUUUCGGGGUGUAAACCACUGUCAGAGGGGAAGAACACUGUUUGUUCGAACAGGGCAGACAGCUGACGGUACCCUCAAAGGAAGCGCCGGCUAACUCCGUGCCAGCAGCUGCGGUAAGACGGAGGGCGCAAGCGUUGUUCGGAAUUACUGGGCGUAAAGCGCGGGCAGGUGGUCUAUUAAGUCUUCUGUGAAACUCCGGGGCUCAACUCCGGACAUGCAGAGGAUACUGGCAGACUGGAGACCGGUAGAGGCUAGCGGAAUUCCUGGUGUAGCGGUGGAAUGCGUAGAUAUCAGGAAGAACACCGGUGGCGAAGGCGGCUAGCUGGGCCGGGUCUGACACUCAUCCGCGAAAGCGUGGGGAGCAAACAGGAUUAGAUACCCUGGUAGUCCACGCCGUAAACGAUGGGCACUAGGUGCCGGGUCUAGAGACGGAUUCGGUGCCGCAGCUAACGCAUUAAGUGCCCCGCCUGGGGAGUACGG